rnacentral:lncRNA from 1 species
CAAAACCAUGUUGGCAUCAAUGAGAUAUGAUGUGCCAUUCUAAAAGCUUCUCUCCUGAUUGCUUUAGAAAUUAGGAUCUGGAAGGACUUUAACAUGAAUUAGUUUUUUUGCAUGUUUAUAGGCCAGAGACCUGACCAGGCAAUGAACUGAUAGAUUUAAAUAAAUAUUCCCCUCCUAACUUUUUCCUUUAGCUACAGACCAGACAGUCCAAACACAAAGCUCAGAAUUCCAGCUCCAACUUAUUUACUCAGUGAAUUUAUUGUAAAAAUAAAGAAACUCAAUUAUUCCAGUUAAUGGAUUUCACGUUAAAUAGUUUAACUUUCAAUGGGCUUUCUGAAGAGCUGUUCAUAGGAUGAUAUUUGGAAGAGUCCUUUCCUUAAGGAAAAAAGGGUGAACAAUAAAUAAAGAGUUACUUGCGUUAACGGUCACGUUAUUUCAUUAAAAGAGAGGAGGAGCAGAAAUCUAUGACAUAGUUGCCCAACAUGGCAUUUAUCUGCUGUAACAGAAAGCUGUAACACUGGCGGGCAUUUCACAGUAUUUGCGCAUAGUAAACUUCUGCCAUUGUUAAAGUCUGAGUUAGAAUUAUCAAUGAAUUCUUUUUUUUUUUUUGUCUUUUUAAAUUUUCUUGAUUUUAAAAAAUGUAUUUGUGUUUUGCAGGUUGGAACGCAAACCCAGUGUGGCCACGUCCCGUGAAGUUAUGGACAAAAUGUUUCAGUUUCUGUUCACCUCUGUGCGUGUGUGUGUAUGUGUUGUGUGCAUGUGUGUGUGUGGGGGGGGGGGAUGGGGUAGGUAUGUGCUUUUGGCUCAUGUUUGUGAUGACAACUGAAGUCUUUUGUGGGUCCGACCUGUUGUAGGGUGUGGGGGAAAGUGAAGGAAGAGAAUGAAGACGCAGUAGACGGUGAUGCCCGAGAAGACGGCCCCCAUGACGAAAGCCAGGAUGACUGCAAUGGCCAAGAGGGUGACGGGAACCAGCUGGUCGUGGCCUUUGAGGGUCCUCCUCCCUUCAAUUGUGACAUCACAGUUGGUUGCUGUGGAAAUGAUUGUCCUAUGACAAAGGAUUGUGACUUAAGUAGAAGCAGCAAAUAUCUCUUAAGAAAUAAAGAUUCUGUGAUCCAACAAAUACCCUUGGUAAUAAAAGGCAGUCAAGGCAAUUCACCAUAAGGAAAGAGUGUACAAGACGGUACUGAUCCAGUCAUGAGAAUAUUAGAAGUCAAAUACUGCAAAUUAUUAGAUGACCUAGAAGAGACAGGACGAACAUUCUUGAGUUCCAAACUGCCUCUUCCAUCUACUGACUACUUGGACCAGGAAAAAUACAACAGAGAAAGAUAACAGGCCGACUCACGUGAAAAUAAAACGAGCGGGAAGGGCAGUUGGCUUAGAAAAUUCCCUUGCCAGCUACUUGUGAAAUGAUUAAACAGUGUAGAGCCAAGAAAGACCACAGGGGACACUACAAGAUAACGCUCCAUGUUGCUGUUCAUUUGGAAUUAUUUUGAAUAGCUACACACUCCCAAAAUGGAGGAUCAUAUAUUGUUGGACUCCUUAGGGACGUCAUUAAGGUAAUCAAAUACAACAUCUCAUUUGGCAGAGGAUACUUAUGGCCAGACAAGUUGUGGUCCGGCUAAAUUAAGAGCAGAAUUAUAACAAAAGCCUAAAUUUAUGUGAUCCCUGUUUGAGCCGUAUUCUUACCGUGCCAUUCAGCCUUAAGACAUCAGCCUGUCUGUCUAAAUAACAUUUCCCC